ACAGAUAGCCAUAUGUUGAUACAGACAGGGCAGAUAGAGGUUUACCUGUAUAACCAGGAGCACAGAGGCAGUUGUAUCCACCAGUUCUGCUGACACAAUCUUCUCCAUCUAGACAAGUGGACAGAACAUACAUGCCAAGGACAAGCAGAAGAAGUGAGUUGCUUCCUAAUUGCCGGGAUCCAGUUUUCAGGUCAACACAAGGUCAUAUCGUCUCAAUGACUUCCUUCAACAAACUUCUAGAUAUACUUCCCCUUAAAUGUUCUUUAUGUGGGAAAUUAAAAAAAAAUGAAUGUAUUGGGGAAAAUAAUUAAUAAAACUUUGAUAAAUACUA